AACGAACGCUGGCGGCAGGCCUAACACAUGCAAGUCGAGCGAACCCUUCGGGGUUAGCGGCGGACGGGUUAGUAACGCGUGGGAAUAUACCCUUUGGUACGGAAUAGCCUCGGGAAACUGAGAGUAAUACCGUAUGUGCCCUUCGGGGGAAAGAUUUAUCGCCAAAGGAUUAGCCCGCGUUGGAUUAGAUAGUUGGUGGGGUAAUGGCCUACCAAGUCUACGAUCCAUAGCUGGUUUGCGAGGAUGAUCAGCAACACUGGGACUGAGACACGGCCCAGACUCCUACGGGAGGCAGCAGUGGGGAAUCUUAGACAAUGGGCGCAAGCCUGAUCUAGCCAUGCCGCGUGGACGAUGAAGGCCUUAGGGUUGUAAAGUCCUUUCAGAUGGGAAGAUAAUGACGGUACCAUCAGAAGAAGCCCCGGCUAACUCCGUG
rnacentral:rRNA from 1 species